GACGAACGCUGGCGGCGUGCCUAACACAUGCAAGUCGAACGGGGAGUUAUUUAUAACUCCUAGUGGCGAGCGGGUGAGUAACGCGUAGACAACCUGCCUCUAAAUUGGGGACAACACCGCGAAAGUGGUGCUAAUACCGAAUGUGGUAUCUUGGUCGCAUGACUAGGAUAAGAAAGGUGGCCUCUGAAUAUGCUGCCGAUUAGAGAUGGGUCUGCGUCUGAUUAGCUAGUUGGUGAGGUAAUGGCUCACCAAGGCGACGAUCAGUAGCCGGUCUGAGAGGAUGAACGGCCACACUGGGACUGAGACACGGCCCAGACUCCUACGGGAGGCAGCAGUGGGGAAUCUUCCGCAAUGGACGAAAGUCUGACGGAGCAACGCCGCGUGAGUGAAGAAGGUCUUCGGAUUGUAAAGCUCUGUCGUUUGGGACGAACGUAUCUUGUGUGAAUAAUGCAGGGUAAUGACGGUACCAAAGGAGGAAGCCACGGCUAACUACGUGCCAGCCGCCGCCGUAA
rnacentral:rRNA from 1 species